AAACCAUGAUGGGGACAUUGAGUGGUGUAGCUUUUAAACCUCUCCCAAGUUUCAUUGUUUUUCUGUGUGAAGCCCGAGAUCUCGUUCCUCAAUCU
rfam:Arabidopsis thaliana chromosome 4, complete sequence.